rnacentral:misc_RNA from 1 species
GACGGAGGGUGCGAGCGUUGUUCGGAAUUACUGGGCGUAAAGCGCGCGCAGGUGGGUGCGCAAGUCGGAGGUGAAAGCGCAGGGCUCAACCCUGCGACGCCCUUCGAGACUGCAUGUCUAGGGACCGGUAGAGGUGAGUGGAAUUCCCGGUGUAGCGGUGGAAUGCGUAGAUAUCGGGAAGAACACCGGAGGCGAAGGCGGCUCACUGGGCCGGACCCGACACUGAGGCGCGAAAGCGUGGGGAGCAAACAGG